rnacentral:piRNA from 1 species
UAAGUCUCUUUGUCAUGCAUA